rnacentral:rRNA from 1 species
GUGGGGAAUUUUGGACAAUGGGCGCAAGCCUGAUCCAGCAAUGCCGCGUGCAGGAAGAAGGCCUCGGGUUGUAAACUGCUUUUGUACGGAACGAAACGGUCCGGGUUAAUACCCUGGGCUAAUGACGGUACCGUAAGAAUAAGCACCGGCUAACUACGUGCCAGCAGCCGCGGUAAUACGUAGGGUGCAAGCGUUAAUCGGAAUUACUGGGCGUAAAGCGUGCGCAGGCGGUUUUGUAAGACAGGCGUGAAAUCCCCGGGCUCAACCUGGGAAUUGCGCUUGUGACUGCAAGGCUGGAGUGCGGCAGAGGGGGAUGGAAUUCCGCGUGUAGCAGUGAAAUGCGUAGAUAUGCGGAGGAACACCGAUGGCGAAGGCAAUCCCCUGGGCCUGCACUGACGCUCAUGCACGAAAGCGUGGGGAGCAAACAGGAUUAGAUACCCUGGUAGUCC